rnacentral:rRNA from 1 species
UACGUAGGGUGCAAGCGUUGUCCGGAAUUAUUGGGCGUAAAGAGCUUGUAGGCGGUUUGUCGCGUCUGCUGUGAAAUUUCGGGGCUCAACCCCGAACUUGCAGUGGGUACGGGCAGACUAGAGUGUGGUAGGGGAGACUGGAAUUCCUGGUGUAGCGGUGAAAUGCGCAGAUAUCAGGAGGAACACCGAUGGCGAAGGCAGCACUCUGGGCCGGUACUGACGCUGAGGAGCGAAGGCCAGGGGAGCAAACGGG